GGUUCCAUAGCCAAGGGGUAAGGCAGCAGGUUGCAACCCUGUGAUCGUCCGUUCAAAUCGGUCUGGAACCUCCA
rnacentral:tRNA from 1 species